GAUGUAAAAGGAGCUCUGGGUGGCUGAAGUUGGCACCUCAGACAGCUUGUUCUUCUCUGACUGAAGCCUUGAUGAUGUGUUUGAAGCAGCCUAGGUGCCUCUGAGCAGUGCUGAUUUCUGCACCUUGCUUUUUUGGGAAGGAUGUUAUUUGCUGCAAAGGAACUGGAAGAAGAUGGCAUUUCGAAUAUAGAAAAUUCAUGACCUGCUCUAUUUCUGUGAGGCUGCUUCAGUGAGAGCAUGAUGGAGAUAAGUCAGAUGGAUUCCUUAUCUUCCUGUUGAGACACUGAAUCUUCUGCUGCAGACUUACUUGGUGUUUUCCUCUCAUGUUUGUGAGCUUUCCACCAAUAGGUAGUUAAAAAAUAGCAAAAUUAAACUUUUGGCUGGCAGAACUGAGUGCUGUGGUUUCACUGUUCCUGAACAUGGAAUCAUUAAGGUUGGAAAACACCUCCAAGAUCAUCAAGUUCAGCCUUUGACCAGUCACCACCUUGUUAAGCAGACCAGAACACUGUGUGCUCUAUCCAGAGACAAUCCUAAUCCUGCAGUGCUGUUAAUUUGAGCUUCUUUUCAGAAAUAUUUCCUAUGGAGAACAUCUGAAAGUAUAGUGGUAGCAGUUAAGACUCAAUGUCUGCAGAUGUGUCUGAAUGUUAAAUUAGGGGAUAUUAAUCAAGAUGUGAUAUGACAAAGUUUGUCAUUAAUGAUGAAUAAACUUCAUAUGUAGAACACAAAAAUUGAUGCCUGUGUUUUUGAGUAUCUUAACUUCAGGGUUUUUUUUCCUUUAGGGAGUAUCCACAUUAAGAAGUGCCUUUUUUUGGGGGUUCAGAUGUGUUGUAAGCCUC